CAGACAGCACCACCGCUCAGAAAGCUGGGAUCACCGCGGACACAGCACAGCCCCCAGAGGAUGGUCCACAUGGAGCGGAACAGGAAGCUCUCCCCGAGACAGACGUUCAGCACACUGGGACAAAAGUCACACGGCCAAAAACAUCCAAGGGUAAGGACGAUAUUAAGACUCCCGAGGCGAGACGCAAGGUGAAAGACUCCGUUCGGAAGUCUGUCUUUGGGAGGAAGACUCACCAGAAGGAGGCAUUUGAAACACUCCUAGAGCAAGAGGCAAACAGAGAGGU